CGUUAGUUUGGGUAGAUGCCAUA
rnacentral:siRNA from 1 species